rnacentral:rRNA from 1 species
AGCGAACGCUGGCGGCAGGCCUAACACAUGCAAGUCGAACGAUCUUUCGGGAUAGUGGCGGACGGGUGAGUAACACGUGGGAACGUGCCCUUUGGUUCGGAACAACUCAGGGAAACUUGAGCUAAUACCGAAUGUGCCCUUCGGGGGAAAGAUUUAUCGCCAUUGGAGCGGCCCGCGUCUGAUUAGCUCGUUGGUGAGGUAAUGGCUCACCAAGGCGACGAUCAGUAGCUGGUCUGAGAGGAUGAUCAGCCACACUGGGACUGAGACACGGCCCAGACUCCUACGGGAGGCGGCAGUGGGGAAUCUUGCGCAAUGGGCGAAAGCCUGACGCAGCCAUGCCGCGUGAAUGAUGAAGGUCUUAGGAUUAUAAAAUUCUUUCACCGGGGACGAUAAUGACGGUACCCGGAGAAGAAGCUCCGGCUAACUUCGUGCCAGCCGCCGCCGUAAGAC